GUCCGUACUUCCCCGUUCGUUUAUUUGUUAUUCUACCGAACAAACUGCGAAUGGCCGGCCACCCAGAAGAGGAGUGUGCUGAUGGUUAACUUAUUGGCCUCUAUUCGAACGUUGUGGUUAACCGCAGACACCUCCUAAUUGAAACCGUAUGCUGGGUGGUCGUCGUUCGUAUGCCGACCAUGAGGCGGCGGCCAUUUUAGAUGCACGAAUACACAGCGGUGUUUGUCGACAAACUUAUGGAACUCAAAACUGACACUUUUUCUCCCGAACACCGCUGAAACCGCCGACCUCCAUUCUUUGUCACCGG